CACCCUCCAAUCCAGUAGGGGGCGGGAAAGCACCUUCUACGUUGGCUGCCAAACGCCAAUAAACACCAAAGAAGAAAGAAAGCAGAACACGUGUUUUUGUAUCCUCUGUGAAGUCGUCAGCUUUUCUUUUCCAGGCUAAAAUGUCAGAAUUUCCAGAUUCUACGUGCAAAACAAAUGUUAUUAUAUCUGGUCUUAAAAAUCUUAUGAUUCAGAUGUUUACUGAUCGGCCUAGAAUCAGACUGAAAUACUUCAGUGGAACACGUGGGUGGAGGUGAACAGAUGAAGAAGAGGAAUGAAGGUGGAUUCAUAGUUCAUGAUGACCAGAGACUUCAUGUUUCAUAAGAAAUCUGAGAUCUGUAUCUAAAGUCUGCAUUAAAUCAGAUACAUCAUUUACAGAUAAUCUCUAAUGAUUUUGGAUCCUGGGGUCCUGAUGCCUUGGGAUUAUCGGAGAUCAGGAUCCAUUAAUGAUGUUCUGGAUUUGUGAGAAGAGACAAGAUUGAAGCUUUAAAUUCAUUUUGCUGUAUACUAUGCUGUAGGUAGUGUGUAGUCUACUGUAGUUUGAUGGACAUUUCUGGUCUAUAUAUAUCGUACUGCUCUUAUGUAAAUGUUUUAUAACACAACUCUGUAUUAAAGCUGCAGGAAAUAUUAAACUAUAUUUGAGACUAA